GUUAUUUCAUAUGAAGACUUUUAUUUAGUCAGAUUUUAUGUAUGCUUUACUGAGAAACCAAAACUUUGUUCUGUUUUCUAUCUGCAAAAAUAUAAGUCAAGAACAUCAUCCUUCAGAGACCAUUCAUAUUCCGAAUUGUUUCUUGCUUUAAGCACAUCUCAUCGUUCAUCAUUUUCUACUGUCACUUUAACUUGUUGGAUUAAAUGGCAGAAGAGCGAUGACUUCUAAAGCGCUUUUCUUGAGUUGUCAUAUGGAAGAGCUUCUCAAGUCUACUGAUUGGUCCUGCAAAAUUGAC